rnacentral:ncRNA from 1 species
CGCGCGUCCGUGGUUGAAAAUCGACGCCAGUCGCAGGCAAAACGAUCCACGUAAACCGGAAAAAUUCCGGCGAGCAUGGUGCGGCUUAGAGGUAAGUCCGGCCGGCGGAAGCGCCGAGAGGGUCAGUAGUGGGGAGGCCAUGUCCUUAGGAGCGAACGCCCCAGCCGGCGAGUGUGGGGGCAAAGACCAGGUCGGGCGCG